CAAAUGCCGAAUUCUCCACAAGCAUCUCAUCAUAAAUCCUCGAACCGAAGCGCGGCCCUCCUGCGCUGCAACUUGGCACAGAAAGUAGCGGGGAGGAGAGAGAGAGAGAGAGAGAGAGAGAGAGGAGGAGAGGCAAACGAGAGGCUCUCCGGAGAGAAGGACGACCAGCCUCUAGAUUCCCAUCUUUUCUCCUCCAAGCCUUUUCCUUUGCCUCUUAAUAACCUCGUACUAGAACACCCUCAAACUCCGGGAAAUAGAAGGCAGGGGAAGGCGGAAAGGAGGGCUUUUUGUUUGGUUGCUACGAUGGCGAGUUGGGUUCUAUCUGAAUGCUGUGGUCUAAGACCGCUGCCGGCGGAUUUCUCCCGGCCCACAUCCAGGCUCCAGCCGCUCCGGCGGAGCCUACCCUGUCCGGCCGUCCGUGGCGUGGAUUUCCGCCGCCAGAUCUGUCUCGGAGGCCGGCCGCCCUACCGGGACUGGGCGCUGAGGGUGAGCACGCCGCUGAGGGUAGCGACGGUGGAGGAGGAGAGGGAAGGUGGGGAGGUUAACGGGAAACGGGUGAAUGGAUGUGAAAGAGAGGUGCCGAAGUUCGACCAUGGUAUGCCGCCGCCGUUCGGGCUGGCGGAGAUCCGGGCGGCCAUCCCCAAGCACUGCUGGGUGAAGGAUCCCUGGAAAUCCAUGAGUUACGUCGUCCGAGAUGUCGUCGCUGUGUUUGGGCUCGCAGCCGCCGCCGCCUACCUCAAUAACUGGAUGGUGUGGCCGCUCUACUGGGCGGCUCAGGGCACCAUGUUCUGGGCUCUCUUCGUUCUUGGCCACGAUUGUGGUCAUGGAAGCUUUUCGAGCAAUCCGAAGCUGAACAGCGUGGUUGGGCAUUUGCUCCAUUCUUCCAUUCUCGUGCCUUACCAUGGCUGGAGGAUUAGUCACAGGACUCAUCACCAGAACCAUGGACACGUCGAGAAUGACGAGUCGUGGCACCCUUUACCAGAGAAGUUAUAUAGAAGUCUGGAUUCUGCAACUCGGAUUUUGCGUUUCACAUUGCCUUUCCCAAUGCUUGCAUACCCUUUGUACCUGUGGUCAAGGAGUCCAGGGAAGAAGGGGUCGCACUUCCAUCCGGAUAGUGAUCUAUUUCUUCCAAAGGAGAGGAAGGAUGUGAUAACAUCAACAGCGUGCUGGUCAGCAAUGGUGGCGGUACUUGCAGGAUUAACAUGGAAAUUUGGCCUUGUUCCAAUGAUAAAGCUGUAUGGAAUUCCCUACUUGGUGGGUCUAUUAACUCUUUUAAUUAUGUUUACUGUUAAUGAGAGCAUUCAUGGAUUUUUGGCUGUGAAUUUUGUUAUGAUUAAUUGUGGUUCUGAAUGCAGAUAUUCGUCAUGUGGUUGGAUUUUGUGACAUAUUUGCAUCAUCAUGGGCAUGAUGAGAAACUUCCUUGGUAUCGCGGAAAGGAGUGGAGUUAUCUCCGCGGAGGGCUUACAACAUUAGAUCGGGAUUAUGGAUGGAUCAAUAACAUCCACCAUGAUAUUGGGACUCAUGUGAUACAUCACCUCUUCCCACAGAUACCACAUUACCAUCUAAUAGAAGCUACUGAGGCAGCAAAGCCAGUGCUCGGAAAGUACUACAGGGAACCUGAGAAAUCUGGUCCUUUGCCAUUUCACCUAGUUGGUGUCCUCACGAAGAGCAUGGGAAGCGAUCGCUAUGUUAGUGAUACUGGAGAUGUCGUCUACUAUCAGAAUGAUAGCCAAAAGAAUAGUUUUUCACAGAAGAACUCAGAUUGAAACUUAGCUCACGUGCAUGGGAAGAUUUCUGAUGCACAAGUGUUCAAAUUCGUAUUAUUCAUUCUUUUCUCUUCCAGCUAAAGGGGAAGAGAUUGCAGAUUGAUGCACCUUCUGGUGGAAGAAGGUGCAUACCAAACUUGUCCUCAAAUGCAUUUUAUUAUGAUAUGUAAUUAAACAUGAACCUGUAUUUGUUAAGCUGCUGGGGAAAAUCAUCUCAGCACACGAAGCUAUAAUUAUUUUAGGUGAAAAUGUCAAGUAAUCAGAGAGAAAAGGAGGAAAGAAAAUAAUGCUGACUGCUGGUUACUUUAUCUAAAUUUCCAUGGCUAGUGUGCAUAUGAUUGGUGAAUGAAAAGGUGAUGAGAUUUUUGUUGAUUGAA